AGUUGUAUAUAUUUGAAUUCAGUUGGCAUGUAGUGACACGUCGGCCUGAUUUACUGGGAUGUUUCCGCGUGAUUCAUUAUAAGCAAGUAUAUUGAAUGAUGUUAGGUAAAUCCCUAACUGAUUAGUUUAAAAAGGCCUUAGUGAGAUGGAAUUCACUGGUCCGAUUCACGUUGGCACCUGUUAUGAUGGUGGAAUCCACGUGUAUAACGGGUCGGGUCGUGACAGUUGUGGUUAUAUCCAAUGAUGUAAGUUAGGAUUUGUGGAGUAGUAAACAGAACAAGUGAGUAAAAGUAUUAGACAGGUAUUGUCGCUAUACUUGAUAGUAUUGAAUAUAAUAUGCAUACUAGUGCUUCUUGAUGUCAUAUUUGAAAGGAAUUGAUUGUCCAAGAAUGGGUGUUUACAUUUCAUUACCUAGAUAAAUGUAUAAUUUUUAUGAAUGCCAGAACAGAAAGAAGAUGAUUGGAGGGAAAGGGAGAAGGAAGGGAUAGUAACUUCCCCCAUAUUUUGUAUCUAUGCUUAUGCCCAAUGACUCUUCUACAGAAGGGUUUUGUCAGGGAUAUUUGUUAUAAUGUGACGUUGUCUUUGUCAAAUGACUCAUCUGUAGCGGACAUUCCUAUAGUUUGUGAAUUCGCAAGGUUAUUUCCCGAGAGUUGUAGGGAUACCGGUGAAUAGGGAGAUUGAGUUUUUGAUUGAGAGUGUGCCUGGAACUCAACCAAUUUCUAAGGCACCGUAUCGUAUGGCUCCUGUAGAGUUAAAGGAGUUAUUGUUACAACUGCAAGAGUUGUUAGACAUGGGGUUUAUAAGACCUAGUUCAUCGCCGUGGGGUGCACUAGUUUUGUUUGUUAAAAAGAAAGACAGGACGAUGAGGUUGUGUAUAGAUUACCGGGAAUUGAAUAAGGUAACAAUUAAGAACAAGUAUCUAUUACCAAGGAUAGAUGAUCUCUUUGAUCAGUUGUAAGGGCAAAAGUCUUUUCGAAGAUUGAUUUACGUUCUGGCUAUCAUCAAUUGAAGGUAAAGUCAGAGGACGUUGAGAAAACAGCAUUUAGGGCACUGUAUGGACAUUAUGAGUUCCUAGUAAUGCCAUUCGGCAUCACUAAUGCACCAGCUGCGUUUAUGGAUUUGAUGAAUCGAAUUUUUAAGAGGUACUUAGAUGAAUUUGGAUUCGUUUUCUUUUUUUUUAUUUUGCCGAUAUCCUUAUCUACUCAAGAGAUGAGGAUCAGCAUGCUGAAUAUUUGAGAAUUGUGUUGCAGAUACUGAAAGACCAAAGACUAUAUGCCAAAUUCAAGAAAUAUGAAUUUUGGUUAGACAGUGUGGUAUUUUUAGGACAUAUUUUUAGCGGAAAAGGAAUCUCAGUUGAUACUCAAAAUAUCAGGGCAAUUGUGAAUUGCCGUCACACACCAAGAUGUUUUUGAAGUGAGAAGUUUCUUGGGGUUUACGGGGUAUUAUAAGAGAUUUGUCAAGGACUUCUCAAAGAUAGUAGUGCAUUUGACAGAAUGGACUAGAAGGAUGAACCCCUUUUUUUGUUUUUUAUUUUAUGAGAAGGGAAAGAGUUUCCAAUGUAUAUUGAAGAAGAGGGUGUGAUUUCAGCACCUAUACUUGCCAUUUGCAAGAAAAGCAUUGAAGGAUUUUUAAUUUAUAGUGAUGCUUCACAUCAAGGCUUGGGAUGGUAUUGUUGCAAAAUGGAAAUGUUAUUGCAUAUGCUUCGAGACAGUUGAAAGCACACGAGAAGAACUGCCCUACUCAUGAUUUGGAGUUAGCGGCAGUUAUUUUUGCGUUGAAAAAAUGGAGACAUUACUUGUAUGGGGUGAAGUGUGAGAUUUAUACUGACCAUAAAAGCUUGAAGUAUAUCUAUACACAAAAGGAAUUGAAUUUGAGGCAACAAAGAUGGUUAGAAUUGAUGAAAGACAAUGACAUUAACAUUAACUACCAUCUAGGGAAGGCAAAUGUGGUAGCAUAUCCAUUGAGUCGGAAGGCAUCGAAAAAUUUGAAUGUACUGAUUACAAAACAACAAUGUUUUCACGGUGAGAUGGAGAUAUUGGAGUUGGAAAUAGUCACUCCUGGAUUGGAGAGUUUAUGUGCAAUGAUUGUUGCAGAACUAAAAAUUUUGAGAGAAAUUAAACUUAGACAGAUGGAGGAUCCCAAACUUAAGAAGAUUCAUGACAACUUAGCAACAAAAUUAGAUUUAGAAUUCAAAAUAGUAGAUGGAGUACUUAUGUUUCAGAAUCGAAUGUGCUUGCCUGAUGUGAUGGACAUCAAACGGCAAGUUAUGGAUAUAGGACAUAAGUCAAAGUGGGCUAUUCAUCUGGGAAUGAUGAAAAUGUACUAGGAUCUGAGAAAUAUGUACUGGUGGAUGAGUAUGAAGAAGGACAAAGGAGUAUGUCAGUAAGUGUUUGCAAUGUCAGCACCCCCCAAAUUAGGCUGUACGCCAGAAACCUGCGGGAUAUUUCAACCAUACCAUUUCAAAUAAAAUGGGAGGAGAUUACUUAGAUUUGUGAUUGGA
rnacentral:lncRNA from 1 species